rnacentral:miRNA from 1 species
AGAAAAUCAAAACCUAAA